UACAGAGGGGGCAAGCGUUGUUCGGAAUUACUGGGCGUAAAGCGUGCGCAGGCGGUGAUGUAAGACAGAUGUGAAAAUCCCCGGGCUCAACCUGGGAACUGCAUUUGUGACUGCAUCGCUGGAGUGCGGCAGAGGGGGAUGGAAUUCCGCGUGUAGCAGUGAAAUGCGUAGAUAUGCGGAGGAACACCGAUGGCGAAGGCAAUCCCCUGGGCCUGCACUGACGCUCAUGCACGAAAGCGUGGGGAGCAAACAGG
rnacentral:rRNA from 1 species